AGUAGUAUCUUUGCAUCUGUCAGUGUCGCCAGAGAUGUAGACCAAUGUUUUCGCGUAGGAGUCUGUGCUGCAUAACAAAUGUGUUUUGUUGAAAUGUCAUGUAAUCAUAUGUGAGUGUUAUUUUCAAAAACUGUAAUUCAGCUUUAUGUGGAAGGAUUUUCACUGCUUGCGAUAAUUGUUGCAUACUUGAUUUUAUAACAUGACAGCAGAACAAUGAAUUAUUAAGUGCAUUAUUACUGCAGUCAUUGGGUUACUAAAUAAAAAAGAAAAUAUGGCACAGAGUAGCUCCAGUGGCACGUCGUCUAGGCGGCACGGGAGGAGCGAUCACGAUACAGCAUCAUUAACAUCAAGCAGAUAUGCCGACGCCGAAUGGGAAGCCAAGGAGGCAUUACGGCAGAGAGAAUUGGAGGAAGCAAGAGCUCGCGCAACCCAGAUGGAAAAGACGAUGAGAUGGUGGUCUGAUUGUACUGCAAACUGGAGAGAAAAAUGGAGCAAGGUACGUAAUGAACGUAACAAAGCCAGAGAAGAAUCGAAACAGUUGAGGAUACGACUAGAAGCAGCAAUGAAAGAUGCUGGAACCUGCAGGAGGGAGCGCCAAGAACUAGAAACAGAAAAUGAGCGGCUAAGGCAAGAGUUAGAACAAGCACACAUGUUACUACUGAAGGGAGCAGGGAAAUCAGGCAGUGCAUGGGCACCAAAUAGUAAUUUGCCAGCCGAUGACCAUGAAGCAGAGGAGUAUGUUCUUCCUCGGCACACUACAGAACUGUGCCAUGCAGGAGUGGUGGGGCGUGAAAAUGCAGUUGAUGGAGAUGCUCAAGAUCCAGCAGCUGUAUCAACAGGAUUGUCAGCAUCUGAUGCAGCCUUGGGUGAUAUGGACCCCACAGCAGCCCUAGGACCACGUGACCCUGCAGCAGAUGGUGGAGAAGAUCUGGAUCGUGAUCAUGACUGCAUGUUGCAGAAGAUGUCUAUGCUACAGCUUAGAUUAGAUGAGGCUUCAAAGACUAUACAGAUUGAGAGAGAAGAAAAAGGAGCACUGCAACGAGCUUUGGACAGGUUACGCGGAGAUCUGGCUGGUGAGACAAGGGUGCAAGACGGUGGUAUAGCAGGACGACUUGCGCUCCUUAGAGCAGAGCUCGAACGCAUGCAGGCAGAAAAUUCUGCUGAAUGGAGAAGAAGUGAAAGCCUGGAGACUGAGAAACUUGCCUUGGAGAGAGAGAACAAAAAGCUACGAGCUGAACUUCGUGAUGCAAAUGAGCGACUUGAACGUAUGCAGCGCAAUGUUGCAGCAGGCCGUUUGCCUUUGCCUUCAUCAUCAGUUGUGGAAACAGAACUGCGUGAAGAUCUUGCUGACAGAGUUAAGGAGCUGACUGAACUGAAACAGGCACACUCAAAGCUAAAAAAGGUAUUUCAAGAAAAGUCAACAGAACUUGCACAUGCAGCAAGACGGGCAGAACAGUACGAGGCAGAAGUAAAGAGACUGCGUGCUCGUGUUGAGGAAGUGAAAAGGGAACUAACAGCAGCAGAGGAUGAAGUUGAUGCUGCCUCAAACAGCAUACGAAAACUCCAGAGAGCAAAUGAUGAAUUACAGGAACAAGUAGAGACGCUGCAGGUACAACUUGAACAUUUACACUCCAGUAAAUAUACCAGCUCUGUCACUUUCCUGUGAAAAAUGUGGGAUGCACCAUAAUGGACUACUUUCUUACCAGCUUCUGUUAAAUGAUUACUUGGUUCCAGGUUCCCAGUUCUUCAAGUUCUCACCGUAAUGGCCAAGAUUUUGCCUUUCGUGGAGAACUGAGUGAUGAUGAAGUUAUAUAUUAAAUGAUUUGUGGGUAUUUGUCAUUGCACUUCCAUUUCUGGUAACUUGUGAAAACAUAUUGCAACACAACUGUAUAGAAAUGGCAUUUUUUCAAAAUAAGUAAAUAACAGUUGAAUUUAUAGUAACUAGUAAAAUAUAGCUUCAGUGAAGCAUAUAGUAUUUUUCUAUAUAUUUGACUGUAAUUCAUGGUGGAAUUGAAUGACUGCAUUCCAUUGCAUAUUUGUGCUAUUAAAACUGUAAUUAGACAAAAAGUGGUUGACAUAUUGAAUGAUGAAUUAGCAGUUAUGAUCAUUUGUCUGAGCUCACUUCAGCACUUACAAUUUAGAAAAAAAUAACGGCAAAUAUUUUAGGAAAAAGUAGCUGUCUAACAAAGCUCACUUCUCAGAUCUUGGGUGCUCUUUCAUAUCUGAACAUUCAAAUGAAGCAGACAGGAUGCCAAUCAUCUGUCGAUGAACUGUGCAGCUUUAUAAUAGACACAUAAUGACAGAGGUAGUUCCCCUUCUUAAGAUCUAAUCGAACUUGUGGGGAUGCUGAUAAUGGUUCAUGGUAUAUUUGGCUAGAACCUCCCAUGACUUAGCUCACAGGUGAGUAGCAGACCGAAUUGACAUGGAAGAUUCUUUUGUCCCAGUCUUGAGCCCAUCAAAUUGUUGGCUCUCCUGUAGCUUGAGGUGCUAGUAUUUGAGUUGCUCCAUUUUGUACAAUAGAUGACUUCUGUAAAUGUUCUGCUUGUUAUUGAAAAAUUUUACUUAGGAAGUGGCAUUUUGUAUUUUAGUGAGUUCAGUUUUCCUAUGUACAAAUGUGACUACAGAAACAUAUAUUUAUUUAUGUAAAGGAAGACUUGUGAUAUAUCAACUCAUGUAAUUAAUGAAUAAUAUAAUUUAAAUUUACUAGAUCCCUUUCUGUAAAAAGUGAUGCAAGUUUUUAUAUUAAAAAAUCGCGUGAGGUAACUAUUAAAUUACAAAGAGAAUGUAUGGCUGGCCAUUUCGUUAUUCACUCAAUUAUUCCUGUUUUACUGUUUGGAUCAUCAUAUUUUCCUCUCCUUUUCCUUUUCUGCCCCCUCCUCCUCCUAGUUAUUAGUUACACUUUUCAUACCACUUGUCAUUUCUCUUGUUUUUAAUCCAUCUCACUGUUCUUCUGUCUUGCGUAGGCUUGAAGCUUCCACAGUGCUGAUUGGUGUACUAUAUUUGAGCUCUUAGUGUCUCUGAUACCUCCCACUUCAUCCAUAUCUGUCCCAGCCUUAUUACAUGUGAUUCUUCUGAUUCUUCUCUACCUGAUGUCUGAGUGAUCUGCCUCCCUUUUCUAACCUUCCCCACCAUAUUUCUCUUUCCUCCCUGAGGAAGGAACUAACAGUUCUGAAAGCUUUAUAUAUGGGUAUCUAUUGGCAGUACUUAGAAUUUUGCCUCUUGAAAUAAAUACUGACCAGCCAUUCUGUCUCCUUGUAUUGAUAUAAUUAUUUAAGUGAUAGUAAUUUUUUACAGAAAUUGACAUACAAGUUUGUGUGUUUACUCACAGUUCUGGUCUGUGAAGAGUUAUGUGUCUUGUAAAAUUUAAUGUUAUAAAGCAGUUUGAAAUGUCAGAAAGUUGUUUCUUUUUCUGUUAAAACAUGAAAUGAUGAUAGAAAACAGAGUUAUCUGUUUUCUUUAUUGAUGCCAUUUUCCUGUACUUGCCUUUUGAGAAUG
rnacentral:misc_RNA from 1 species